rnacentral:lncRNA from 1 species
AACAAUUAAAUUUUGUCUUAGGGUAUUUGUUUCAGGACGAUACAUCAACGCAUUACAAAGAAGGAUCCAAUUUUUUCUUACCAGACAAAAAAUAUAUAUCAUGGGAUAUUAUUCCGGCAGGAUUAUAUUUAGUCUCUAAAAUCAAGUAAACAAAAAACAAGUAAAUAACACCGGCCCUAUAAAAAAGAUUUUGGUUUAAUGGAUAUUUGAUUGCAACCCAAACUAACCAUCAGUUAACAAAUAAGCACUGUACAUCUUAAAUCACAGCAGAAUUCAGGGGCCAAAUGUCUCCAAUGUGUGCAAACAGCAGAAAAUCUUAGGUCCUGCUCCUGAAGCAGAGCAUUGCAGAUAGAUACAUUUGUUUCUGCAUUCAGAAAUCAAAUAUUACCUACACAAAUUCAUAUCAAAGUAUCCCAAUUUCAUUUAACUUGCCCCAUGAUUCCUGCUCCCUGACGCACAUACAUAUGAAAAUCACUGAAGGCUAACUGAAAACGAGAAAAUCCCAAUUCAAACAGGAUAAUAUGUCUGUUCCAAAAUUUCGAAGAAUAGAAUGUCAUCCGGCUUACCUGAAUCAAAACAGUCCAGCAUUCUUUCCCACUCAGAUCUUUGCAGUCAGUGGUACGAAUUCAAACCUUACCCCACUCGAAUGAAAUAAUUAUCAGCCUUGGGUCAUCAAGAACAAAACAUCAAAACUAUUUUAAGUUCCAGCAGGAUUAAGCAUUGACUAUCAAAGUUAAAUGGAUUCCUCAAGACAUCAAAAAAUGUCACUGGUUUAUGACUAAUUGACAUUGAUUUUCAGAGACCAGCAAAAAUCAAAGACCAGCAAAAGUACUCAUGACCGCAACUGAGAUUGAUUUUCUCAAGAAAAUUAUACAUCACAGAAAGAAGGGAACAGGAAAAUAGUAAAGAGAAAUUUCAGAGUUGUAAAAUCAUGCUGCUAAGACGAUCCAUGGGAAUGAACAGCUAAUCACAUAACCCCGCAAAAAAAGAACAGCUAAUCACAUAGGAGUACUACUGUAUCCCGAGCCGAAGACCUUACCAGAUCGCAAAUAUUACAGAAACAGGAAACAAGAAAUGAAAUCACAACGGGCAUCCUUCAAAACCACAAAGAAUCGCAAGGUUAGUGCUCCAGCCGUCGGUGACGUUCUUCCCACUGACGAAUCCGGCACCUCACCCCUCCCCGCUGACACUCUCCACCUGAAUCUUCAUGCUGCCGUCCCUCCUCCAGAUCUGGCGACACUUGUGCCGGAUCUAUGUGCUUCGCCCUCGAGAAUCGAGAGAGGGAGGUGGGUCCUGCUCCUUCGCCGCCGGCGUUCCCAUCUUGGAGGCGAGGUUAA